rnacentral:tRNA from 1 species
GGCUCAAUGGUCUAGUGGUAUGAUUGUCGCUUCGGGUGUGACAGGCCCCGGGUUGUAAGUGUACCCACCAGCUAGCAUGUGUAAUGACUUGGAGCUAAUGCAAAUACAGCAAAUCCCGGUUGAGCCC